rnacentral:rRNA from 1 species
UACAGAGGGUGCGAGCGUUAAUCGGAAUUACUGGGCGUAAAGCGUGCGUAGACGGUUAUUUAAGUCAGAUGUGAAAGCCCCGGGCUCAACCUGGGAAUUGCAUUUGAGACUGAAUAGCUAGGGUGCGGUAGAGGGAAGCGGAAUUUCCGGUGUAGCGGUGGAAAUGCGUAGAUAUCGGGAGGAACACCAGUGGCGAAGGCGGCUACCUGGCCCACUCUGACGCUGAGGUGCGAAAGCGUGGG